AGCAGCCGCGGUAAUUCCAGCCCCAAUAGCGUAUAUUAAAGUUGUUGCAGUUAAAAAGCUCGUAGUUGAAUUUCGGAAUCUGUUCGUCGGUCGGGCUUCACUGUCCGUACUGGUGUGGUGGGUUCUUACCUUCUGAAUAACCAGCAUGCCAUUCACUUGGUGCGCUGGGGAAGCAGGACUAUUACCUUGAAAAAAUUAGAGUGCUCAAAGCAGGCUAGUGCCUGAAUACAUUAGCAUGGAAUAAUAAAAUAGGACGGCAUGGUUCUAUUUUGUUGGUUUCUAGGAUCACCGUAAUGAUUAAUAGGGAUAGUUGGGGGCAUUAGUAUUCAAUUGUCAGAGGUGAAAUUCUUGGAUUUAUUGAAGACUAACUUCUGCGAAAGCAUUUGCCAAGGAUGUUUUCAUUAAUCAAGAACGAAAGUUAGGGGAUCGAAGACGAUCAGAUACCGUCGUAGUCUUAACCAUAAACUAUGCCGACUAGGGAUCGGACGAUGUUAAUUUUUUAAUGACUCGUUCGCGUACC
rnacentral:rRNA from 1 species